GUGCUCGCUUUGGCAGCACGUAUACUAAAAUUGGAAAGAUACAGAGAUUAGCAGGGCCCCUGCGCCAGGAUAACACACAAGUCAUGAAGCGUUUCAUAUGUUU
ensembl:snRNA U6 U6 spliceosomal RNA